rnacentral:rRNA from 1 species
CCAGACUCCUACGGGAGGCAGCAGUGAGGAAUAUUGGUCAAUGGUCGGGAGACUGAACCAGCCAAGCCGCGUGAGGGAGGAAGGUACAGAGUAUCGUAAACCUCUUUUGUCAGGGAACAAAGGCGGGGACGUGUCCCCGGAUGAGUGUACCUGAAGAAAAAGCAUCGGCUAACUACGUGCCAGCAGCCGCGGUAAUACGUAUGGUGCAAGCGUUAUCCGGAUUUACUGGGCGUAAAGGGAGCGCAGGCGGCGCGCCAAGUCUGAUGUGAAACCCCGGGGCUCAACCCCGGGCAUGCAUUGGAAACUGGCGGGCUGGAGUGCCGGAGAGGUAAGCGGAAUUCCUAGUGUAGCGGUGAAAUGCGUAGAUAUUAGGAGGAACACCAGUGGCGAAGGCGGCUUACUGGACGGCAACUGACGCUGAGGCUCGAAAGCGUGGGGAGCAAACAGGAUUAGAUACCCGAGUAG